rnacentral:rRNA from 1 species
UACGUAGGGGGCAAGCGUUGUCCGGAUUUACUGGGCGUAAAGGAUGCGUAGGUGGAUAUUUAAGUGGGAUGUGAAAUACCCGGGCUCAACUUGGGUGCUGCAUUCCAAACUGGAUAUCUAGAGUGCAGGAGAGGAAAGUGGAAUUCCUAGUGUAGCAGUGAAAUGCGUAGAUAUCGGGAGGAACACCAGUGGCGAAGGCGGUUGCCUGGGGCUUUGCUGACGCUGAUGCGCGAAAGCGUGGGGAGCGAUCCGG